rnacentral:misc_RNA from 1 species
GUAGGUGAACCUGCGGAAGGAUCAUUAGUGAAUUGAAUAUGUUAGCGGACCUCUUCGGAGUCCCUAGCAUCAAAUCAUAUCCAUAACACCUGUGAACUGUAAGGCUGUCUUGAAAACGAAAGUGAUUAGAGCGCCUGCCCAUUUUAUACAAACAUUAAAGUAACAAACGUAGUCUUAUUAUAAUCUAAUAAACUUUCAACAACGGAUCUCUUGGCUCUC